CGUCAAGUCCUCAUGGCCCUUACGCCCAGGGCUACACACGUACUACAAUGGCAGAGACAAAGGGUCGCGAAGCCGUGAGGUGGAGCUAAUCCCAAAAACACUGUCUCAGUCCGGAUUGGAGUCUGCAACUCGACUCCAUGAAGUUGGAAUCGCUAGUAAUCGCAGAUCAGCACGCUGCGGUGAAUACGUUCCCGGGCCUU
rnacentral:rRNA from 1 species